rnacentral:rRNA from 1 species
UACGUAGGGUGCAGGCGUUAAUCGGAAUUACUGGGCGUAAAGCGUGCGCAGGCGGUUUGCUAAGCCAGGUGUGAAAUCCCCGGGCUUAACCUGGGAACUGCGCUUGUUACUGGCAGGCUUGAGUGUGGCAGAGGGGGGUGGAAUUCCACGUGUAGCAGUGAAAUGCGUAGAGAUGUGGAGGAACACCGAUGGCGAAGGCAGCCCCCUGGGAUAACACUGACGCUCAUGCACGAAAGCGUGGGGAGCAAACAGG